GAAGGGUGCAAGCGUUACUCGGAAUUACUGGGCGUAAAGCGUGCGUAGGUGGUGCGUUAAGUCUGUCGUGAAAUCCCCGGGCUCAACCUGGGAAUGGCGAUGGAUACUGGCGCGCUAGAGUGAGGUAGAGGAGAGUGGAAUUCCCGGUGUAGCAGUGAAAUGCGUAGAGAUCGGGAGGAACAUCAGUUGCGAAGGCGGCUCUCUGGACCAUCACUGACACUGAGGCACGAAAGCGUGGGGAGCAAACAGGAUUAGAUACCCUGGUAGUCCACGCCCUAAACGAUUCGAACUGGACGUUGGGCUCAAUUAGGAGCUCAGUGUCGAAACUAACGCGUUAAGUUCGCCGCCUGGGGAGUACGGUCGCAAGACUG
rnacentral:rRNA from 1 species